UGGGGAAUAUUGCACAAUGGGCGCAAGCCUGAUGCAGCCAUGCCGCGUGUGUGAAGAAGGCCUUCGGGUUGUAAAGCACUUUCAGCGAGGAGGAAGGUGGUGAACUUAAUACGUUCAUCAAUUGACGUUACUCGCAGAAGAAGCACCGGCUAACUCCGUGCCAGCAGCCGCGGUAAUACGGAGGGUGCAAGCGUUAAUCGGAAUUACUGGGCGUAAAGCGCACGCAGGCGGUUUGUUAAGUCAGAUGUGAAAUCCCCGGGUCAACCUGGGAACUGCAUUUGAAACUGGCAAGCUAGAGUCUCGUAGAGGGGGGUAGAAAUUCCAGGUGUAGCGGUGAAAUGCGUAGAGAUCUGGAGGAAUACCGGUGGCGAAGGCGGCCCCCCUGGACGAAGACUGACGCUCAGGUGCGAAAAGCGUGGGGAGCAAAACAGGAUUAGAUACCCUGGUAGUCCACGCUGUAAAACGAUGUCGAUUUGGAGGUUGUGCCCUUGAGGCGUGGCUUCCGGAGCUAACGCGUUAAAUCGACCGCCUGGGGAGUACGGCCGCAAGGUU
rnacentral:rRNA from 1 species